rnacentral:rRNA from 1 species
GACAGAGGCCUCAAGCGUUAGGCGGAAUCAUUGGGCGUAAAGCGCACGUAGGCGGCCCAGCAAGCGGGGAGUGAAAGCCCUCGGCUUAACCGAGGAAGUGCUUUCCGAACUACUGGGCUUGAAUACUGGAGAGGGUCGCGGAAUUCCCGGUGUAGAGGUGAAAUUCGUAGAUAUCGGGAGGAACACCAGUGGCGAAGGCGGCGACCUGGACAGAUAUUGACGCUGAGGUGCGAAAGCGUGGGGAGCAAACAGG